GUGUGUGUCGAUGGUCAGGAAGGAGAAAAAGGGGUUCAACCCUAGUUUCACAAAAAUCAUCAAAUUGAGAGGGAAAUUCAGCUCGGAUCUAAUGCAUGUACAUGAAUUCAUGAUCAUCUAGCCCUAUAAAUCACUUGGAUAGGAACUACAUUAACACGUACUCAAGCAUGGAAGGCAAACGGGUCAAGAUGAGGCAAGGAAGCGGCUACGAACACGGAUGCACAAGGUAUGCUAUGGUAGUCCAUCGUGAAGUUUUGAGGAAUUGGAAUGAAAGAUUGUACUCGGAAGGAUAAUCGAAAAGUCUGGCACACAUAGAAAGAUCGCGGCGUGGUCAAUUAAUUAUGUAUGAUAGAUUAUGAAUGUAGAUUAUCAAAUUUUAAUGAUGUGCAUGUUUGUGGUGAAUGUAGGUUACACGGUCUUUCGUCGGUUUAAAGCAUUGGAGGAUUGAAGAUCGAGUCAAGGGCAAAAAUUGUACGGGAAGAGUAGUCACGUAGCUCAAACACGUAUAUGUAAUUGAUGUGAAAAUUCAGAACGAACGAUGUAAACCCUUUAAUUAACUUUAAAAAUUU